rnacentral:siRNA from 1 species
UGUGUCUCGUCUCACUACUAU